AUUGAACGCUGGCGGAAUGCUUUACACAUGCAAGUCGAACGGCAGCACGGGGCAACCUGGUGGCGAGUGGCGAACGGGUGAGUAAUACAUCGGAACGUGCCCAAUCGUGGGGAUAACGUAGCGAAAGUUACGCUAAUACCGCAUACGAUCUACGGAUGAAAGCGGGGGAUCGCAAGACCUCGCGCGAGUGGAGCGGCCGAUGUCAGAUUAGGUAGUUGGUGGGGUAAAGGCUCACCAAGCCAACGAUCUGUAGCUGGUCUGAGAGGACGACCAGCCACACUGGAACUGAGACACGGUCCAGACUCCUACGGGAGGCAGCAGUGGGGAAUUUUGGACAAUGGGCGCAAGCCUGAUCCAGCCAUUCCGCGUGCAGGAUGAAGGCCUUCGGUGUAACUGCUUUGUACGGUAACGAAACGGCGAGCUCUAAUACAGUUUGCUAAUGACGGUACCGUAAGAAUAAGACACCGG
rnacentral:rRNA from 1 species